GGGCGUGCUCGCAAGCGCGGUGUGGCCGCGGCGCAGCGCCGAGCCCUGGUAGCGAUCCACGUCCGCUCCCUCUGCGCCGGACGGGCACGAGCGGGCUCAGUCCCUUCCCGUUUUAGUAUCUGUGUCUAGCUGAAAUCCGUCAGGGUUCCGACACCGUUUUUUUCUAAACAUCUACGCUUCUGGCCUCUGCAGCAGCAGGGACAUUUCUGCAUCUCCAGGUACCGCAGCCGAGAAAUUGGGAAGAGAGUUGGAACAUGACAAGGAACAUCCAAGUUUGGAAGUCCCCAGCAGACAGGUCUUUGUACAAAACCACUCACAGUGCAGAAUGGAACCAGCUGUGCUUCACAUAUGGGAUGAUUGUUGCUCUGUUGCUAAUGGGUUUUUCAUCACAGAGAGCCAAAGCAUCCUCAUUUCUGACAGCCAUGAGCCAAGGUCCAUUUGGCCUGUAAUGGCAGUUGAGUGUGUGUUAGUGCCUACACCUCAUCUUUAAAAAUGUGUGUUACUGGCCUAAAACAAAUUUCCAUAAAUAAAAAAUAUAAUAUUUUAAUGAAAA